UGACAUUUGAAGGAAGAAACACCCCUUUUAAACUGGGUUUCGAUUUCAUAGCUUUCUGAUUGAUCAAAAUUUUAAGAUUUUGGCACGCACUUCUCUUUGUUUCAGAUCAAAGUAUAAUCAGAGAUUGGGGAUCUUCGGAAUUGUCGUUUGUUAAUAGGGGGUUUAGACAAAUGGUUUAAACAGACCUAGGCCUCGGUCAUUCUCAGUUGUUCACUUGUGCUGAUCUAAACAUGGUUUGUUGUUGAGUUGUUGGAGCUGUAAUAGUGUGGUGGACAAGUUUGUAGAUGUAAAAGUGUCUCAAAAUCAUGUAACGGUUAUGGCAGAUAAGUAUUACAGAAAAGGAAAUGCAUGCAUGUUUAUCUAAGUUAAAACUUACUGGUGGUUGUGAAAGGUAUGUUUCUUGGAUCAGAAAUGCAGCUGAAGUGUUUAUCGUCGCACUAAAUAAUAGUAAGCAUUUUACAGAUAGGAGGUGAACAAAUACAAUUUUUCAUAUUUUUUUGCAAGUGGUUAAGCCUCACAGGACAUUAGCUUCGGGUUGAAUUCGGAAUUGUUGUCAGUUUUCCUUUAUGGGCGUCUACUAUGUUUCAGGCAUUUUGAUGGCUUUAAUAAUAGCUUGGAAUUGACUUGUAUUCUGUAUCCAUUUUAUAGGAUAAUCUCUCUCGGGGAAACUUUGGUGCUGUUAAGGUUCUUCAGGAGCAAUUCCCCGAACCGGGAAGGCUGCAAUUCAUAUACGCUCCUUAAACUUCCAGUCUUGAACAUGGUGUUGAUAGUUUUUUUGGCCAAUAUGUAUGCAUAAGAUGUGAUUGUUGGAGUCAUUUACUUAAUAAUUGGUCUUGUUCUGCACCUCUUAUCUCCCACUGCAUCAAACAUUGCAUUACUGCAACAAUUACUACACCACCUGCUGUUCCUCCCUGUAUCCUUACUGCUGCUAUUACACCUAUUACAACUACUACUUCUCAUUUUGGUGUUAAACUACAAUUUCUACAGCUUUAUGAGUUGGUUUCUCACUGUAUAUUUACACUGCAACAUUGAUUAUGGUGUUAGCCAUCUGUUUUUCGAGUGUCUGCAACCAACACAGCCUGAUGUAUGGUGACUGCAGUUUCUAGUUUGGCCAUUGCUUUCAAUUUACGACACUACUGGGAGUUUGUGUACUGCUGCGUCAACUGCUUUUCAUGCUCACAUAUUUUGCUGGCAAGAACUGUCCAUGUUGGUAUCCAGUUUGGUACUUGUCUGCAGCCACUACUUCUUACUUAUGUUCCGCAACUCAUCAACAAUCUUUGCUUUUAUCUACAACAACUGCUUCUGCAACAUCAACUUGUAACCUGUUGUGCCAUCGCAUCUCCUGUUUUCGCCUCCUACACUUGCUUCUUUUUGCUUCUAUGUUACUCUCUUGUUAGUCUGUGCCAUGUAGUCAUCUUAGUUAUGUCUACUUAUGUUGUGUUGUGCUUGUUUGUAAUGAUAGUGUGAGCUGAGAGUUUGCAAUCUCAAGUCGUCAGCCCACUUGAGAUUGAGGGAGGGUAUUAGCAUGAAAACGUGGAAACGUGGCUGGCAUGGUUUGCCAUUGGCACGGUGGUGCGGUUGCCAUGGUUGGCAUGCCUUGGCGCGGAGAUGUGGAUGGCAUGGUUGGCAUGCCUUGGCGCGGAGGCAUGGUUUGUCAUUGGCACGGUGGUGCGGAUGACAUGGUUGACAUGUCUUGGAGCGAAGACGUGGCUGACAUGGUUUGCCAUUGGCACGGUGGUGCGGCUGGCAUGGUUGGCAUGCCUUGGCGCGGAGACGUAGAUGACAUGGUUUUCCAUUG